CCCUUUCUGGUUGAUCCUGGCGGAGGCCACUGCUAUCGGAGUUCGAUUAAGCCAUGCGAGUCGAGAGGUGUAAGACCUCGGCAUACUGCUCAGUAACACGUGGACAACCUACCCUGAAGAGGGGGAUAACCCCGGGAAACUGGGGAUAAUACCCCAUAGACUAUGGAUGCUGGAAUGCUCUGUAGUUGAAAGGUCCGCCGCCUCAGGAUGGGUCUGCGGCCGAUUAGGUUGUUGUUGGGGUAACGGCCCAACAAGCCUGUAAUCGGUACGGGUUGUGGGAGCAAGAGCCCGGAGAUGGAUUCUGAGACACGAAUCCAGGCCCUACGGGGCGCAGCAGGCGCGAAAACUUUACAAUGCGAGCAAUCGUGAUAAGGGAACUCCGAGUGCCCGUAAAAUCGGGCUGUCCGCCAGUGUAAAUAACUGGUGAAGAAAGGGCCGGGCAAGACCGGUGCCAGCCGCCGCGGUAAUACCGGCGGCUCGAGUGGUGGCCACUAUUACUGGGCUUAAAGCGUUCGUAGCUGGUCUGUUAAGUCUCUGGGGAAAUCUUCCGGCUUAACCGGAAGGCGUCUCAGGGAUACUGACAGACUAGGGACCGGAAGAGGUGAGAGGUACUCCAGGGGUAGGAGUGAAAUCCUGUAAUCCUUGGGGGACCACCUGUGGCGAAGGCGUCUCACCAGGACGGCUCCGACAGUGAGGAACGAAAGCUGGGGGAGCAAACCGGAUUAGAUACCCGGGUAGUCCCAGCUGUAAACGAUGCGCGUUAGGUGUAUCGGUGACCACGAGUCACCGAGGUGCCGAAGAGAAAUCGUGAAACGCGCCGCCUGGGAAGUACGGUCGCAAGGCUGAAACUUAAAGGAAUUGGCGGGGGAGCACCACAACGGGUGGAGCCUGCGGUUUAAUCGGACUCAACGCCGGGAAACUCACCGGAUAAGACAGCUGAAUGAUUGCCGGGCUGAAGACUCUGCAUGACUAGCUGAGAGGAGGCGCAUGGCCGUCGUCAGUUCGUACUGUGAAGCAUCCUGUUAAGUCAGGCAACGAGCGAGACCCAAA
rnacentral:rRNA from 1 species